AGUGAACGCUGGCGGUAGUCCUAACACAUGCAAGUCGAACGGCAGCACAGUAAGAGCUUGCUCUUACGGGUGGCGAGUGGCGGACGGGUGAGGAAUACAUCGGAAUCUACUUUUUCGUGGGGGAUAACGUAGGGAAACUUACGCUAAUACCGCAUACGACCUACGGGUGAAAGCAGGGGAUCUUCGGACCUUGCGCGAUUGAAUGAGCCGAUGUCGGAUUAGCUAGUUGGCGGGGUAAAGGCCCACCAAGGCGACGAUCCGUAGCUGGUCUGAGAGGAUGAUCAGCCACACUGGAACUGAGACACGGUCCAGACUCCUACGGGAGGCAGCAGUGGGGAAUAUUGGACAAUGGGCGCAAGCCUGAUCCAGCCAUACCGCGUGGGUGAAGAAGGCCUCCGGGUUGUAAAGCCCUUUUGUUGGGAAAGAAAAGCAGCAGGUUAAUACCCCGCUGUUCUGACGGUACCCAAAGAAUAAGCACCGGCUAACUUCGUG
rnacentral:rRNA from 1 species